CAUGAUUGCUAUCCUUGCAUGCAUAGCUACUCCCUUUUCACUAGCCAGCCUCAAAUAUUUAUUACAACUUAUUACAAACCAGAAAUAAAUUACAUCAGAAAAGUACAAUGAAAGUACAACCAGAGGAAGCAUGAUUCUGACUUCAUCUCUGAGUUAUGAGAUAGACCAAAUCAAAGACCAUCAAUCCAAAGCCUUUAUCCAAUUUGAGUGUGCAAGAGUUCCCUAAGAGCCUUAAUGGGACUCCAAGCAAUGCUCACACCCAAAUUGUAUCACCAGAAUAGGGGCAAGUGCAGUGUGGAAGGGCCAGCCCUCAAGUGUCCAAGUUUAGAGGGAGCUCAAUGGAUCCCAAGGCAAGGCAAAGAGGGGAAGAACUUAAGUUUAAGAGAGAGUGCAAGUGUAGAAAUAGAACUUUAAGAGCCAAGGAAGUAAAGAUGAGAGAAAGGGGUGCUGGAAAACAGCCAUAAACAAGUCAUAUUAAGGGGUUCAAGGGUUGGGUAAAUCGCCAAAAAGCCUAUGCACCUAGGCAUUAGUUAAUUAAGGGCACGCACAACAAAAAGGAGUGUUGUUAUACUUACAAAAUCAACUAGAACACAACAUAUAAUGGUAACAUACAAGUUAUGAUCCCGGGGGGUGAAGUUUGAAUCAUAGACAGCAAUACAUAAUACAGUCAUGCCUCAAACAAACCACCAGCAUCAAAUUCAUUUAGGAUGCAUAAUCAAUGCAGAAUAGGAAAAAGGAAAUUACAACAUGCUAAAAUAAAUACUAGACUAAACACUAGCAGUAGUUAGACAAGAAGGUGAAAGUACUAAGUAAACAUAUUGUUGUGAUGCUGAAAUUUAAAUCAGAACAUACUAGUUCAAAGAAGCAAAAAUACAGUAAAAGAAGAUAGCAAGACUCUGAAGACAGACUACAGUACAAGUAACAAAGAGAGAAUGCUUUUUGAGUGCGAGUGUAAGUUUAGAAGCUAUGAGCGUUUUGUGUGUAAAUGAUAUUAGAACUCAGAGUGUUCGUUUGUUAAUGAAAAGGCUAGAGUAUUUAUAGUUUUGAAAAUAGGUUGAAAAUAAGGCAAGAAAAUAAUUAUGGAACUAUGCAUCAAUUAAAAUCAAAACAGUAUCAAAGACUUCCUUCAAUUAAGGAGUUAAAAUCAAACGGUAAUAUACAAGUACAAAAUAAGGAGAGAAAUCACAUAGGGCUGAAUAUGACUAACAAGGAAGUAUAGUACAAGUACACAAUAGGUAAGAGAGACUAAGUUCAUUAGAUUCUAAUCAAGGAAAGGUCGGCUAGAAUCAAAUACCAAGGUAAGGGAAUUAAUCAAAUAGAAUAGAAAAGGAAGGAACCGAAAGUUCAAAGGAAAGUGUUCGAAUUGGUCCAAGAAAUAGGAAAAUUUGUAAAACAAGGAAAGAAUCAAUCAGAAUUACACAAGGAGGUUUGAAAUCAGUCCAUAAUUAAAGGCCAUUUCAGAAGGAAAUUCAGCAUAUAAAGAUUGCAUAAACAUUAGGCAUGCAAGGCUGAAUCUAUGAUAAAAAGAAGUGUCAUGCAAUCACAAAAUCUGUAAGUAAUGGUAAUCACAUAGGUCAAAUUCUAGUAACUCAGUAAUAGAGAAAAGAGAGUAUCCAAUAGCAUGCAAAGGGGUCAAGUGAGAGAACCCCAUAGUAGAGUCUGAAUGGUUGGAGGAAGUAGAAAUCACAUAAGGAAACAGAAGCUGAAACAAAAGAUUUUGAAAUUUAGUCGAGAAACAGAUGAAGAAAAUUCAGAAACUCAAAUAUGUCCAAAGAAAUUAGGUUUUGAAACCCAUCGAAUUCAGAGUAUGAUUAAC
rnacentral:lncRNA from 1 species